AAGAAUCCUGUGAGCCAAGAAGACCAACUCUGGAUUCAGAAGUCAGUCUCUGAAUUAAAUUCCACAAAAACAAAGGCUGGACAAGUUGAAAAAUUGACACCAGAAGAUUCCACAAAAACUAAGGCUGGACAAGUUGAAAAUUUGACACCAGAAGGGUUACGUCCUGGCGAAAGAUUUAAACAGCUAAAGGAGCAAGAGGCCAAAAGAAGACUACAAAGAGAAGAAGAGAAGAGGAAAGCUGAAGAGGCUGCUGCAAAAAGUAGUUCAAUAGUAAAUGGUAGUCCUGAAAAUGCAUCUGAUAUGGAUAAUGGAGCAAGCAUGGCUAGUGCUGAUGUAGUUGACGAGAAGUCUGCAAACAGCAUUAACAAUUCCUCUACUGUUGGAGUUGUAAAAGUUGAUUUAUCUGGGCAGAACCUUAAGAAAGAUGAAAAGAAAACUUCAAUUUUGAGUACGGAAAAAGGUGAAGUUUCCAAUUCUGAGGCCUCUGGAAGGGUUGAACAUCAGUCCUAUGAAAAUAAACAAAAGGAAGUAGAAGUACAUGGUAGCAUGAUAACAGAUAGCAAACUUUCUGAAGAAGACGUGCAUCAAGCCACAAGGGAGCGAUGAAAGAGGGGUAUGGCCACUAUAGUGGUAUUCCAAAUGAAGCAAGAUUAACAGGCAUUAUUGUUUACACAUUAUGUUGAAUGUGGAGAGCAAGGUUUUGUAUCCUUCUUGCUAAAAGGAGCAUGUGAGCAAGCAGCCUUCACUUGUAUCUCUUUUAUUUUCUGAUUGGUGACCUCUCUGAGGCAUAUUGGGUGUAAAGGAUUGGUAGAAUGGUUAAAUCAGUAGAAAUUUUGGGGCAUCCCAUUUGAUAGGAGAUUUUUUUUUUAAGUGG
rnacentral:misc_RNA from 1 species